GAUGAACGCUGGCGGCGUGCUUAACACAUGCAAGUCGAACGGGAAACCUUUUAUUGCUGCUUCGGCAGAUUUAGCUGGUUUCUAGUGGCGCUCGGGUGAGUAACGCGUGGGUAACCUGCCUUAUACAGGGGGAUAACAACCAGAAAUGGUUGCUAAUUCCGCAUAAGCGCACCUGGCGGCUUGGUCCGGUGUGAAAAACUCGAGUGGUAUAGGAUGGACCCGCGUUGGAUUGGCCUGGUGGCAGGGUAACGGCCUAACAAAGCGACGAGCCGUAGCCGGCAGGGGAGGGUGAGCGGCCACAGUGGGACUGAGACACGGAGCAGACUCCGACGGGAGGCAGCGGUGGGGAAUAUUGAACAAUGGGGAGAACCCUGAUGCAGCGACGCGGGGGGAAGGAAGAAGUAUCUGGGUAAGGAAACUUCUAUCAGCAGAGAAGAAAGUGACGGUACCUGACGAAGAAGCCCCGGCUAACUACGUG
rnacentral:rRNA from 1 species